rnacentral:rRNA from 1 species
GAUGAACGCUGGCUACAGGCUUAACACAUGCAAGUCGAGGGGAAACGACGGGUAAUCUUGCUUCCCCGGGCUUCGACCGGCGCACGGUUGAUUAACGCGUAUCCAACCUGCCUCUGACUUAGGGUUAACCCGUCUAAAGUCUGCCUAAUACCUCAUGUCAUCUUCUUCUUGCAUCCAACGACGAUUAAAUAUUUCUUCUUUCAUAUAUGUGUUUUCUUCUGAUUAGCUUGUUGGCGGGGUAACGGCCCACCAAGGAGACGAUCAGUAGGGGUUCUGAGAGGAAGGUACACCACAAUGGAAAAGAGAAAAGGACCAAAAGCGUACGGGAGGCAGGAGAGAGGAAUAUUGGUAAAUGGGAGAGAGCAUGAAACAGCCAAGUAGCGUGCAGGAUGACGGGCCUAUGGGUUGUAAACUGCUUUUAGGAGGGGAGAAAGUGAGGGAAGUGUCAUUCAUUGAAGGUACCGAAUGAAUAAGGACCGGCUAAUUACGUG